ACUAACUGUAAGGGGCUUUGGCUAUAAUCACAAUAUACAGCUCCUGUUAGAAUAAUUCCUUGUUGCCUUUUCUAAUUUGUCCAGGUGAUGUAUCCUAAAAAGAGGCAGUCUGUGUGUGGAGCCUUUUGGGGCACAUGAGGACGCAUUAAAAAAAUGCAGUGCAGUGACCAGGGCUUUCAUGAGGCAGCGGGGCCACAACUGCUCCCGCUGGUCCAGUGAAACAGUACCACACGCUCGUCAAGAGGAUGCAACCUCAUGCGGUGUUAGUGUGUAAAUUAGCAGACAUGAUUUUAAAUCAAGAGGACUUGGAGGACAUUUUCAAUAAGUCUUCAAUUUUACAUAUGAGAAUGCAGAGAGGCCAACGGCUGAUCAAAUAAACAGGUUUGUUCCUUAUUCGUUUUUUAUUAGUUAUUGUAAAACAAGAG